ACUUAAAUAGCUUAAUUAGAGUAUAAUAUUGAAGAUAUUAGGGUGAAUUUUAUUCUUUAGGUA
rnacentral:tRNA from 1 species